GCCAGGGAUGGCCGAGUGGAUAUGGCGUCAGACUUCUGAUCUGAAUCACAUUCGUGGACGCAGGUUCGAAUCCUGCUCCCGGGCA